rnacentral:rRNA from 1 species
UACGUAGGGUGCGAGCGUUGUCCGGAUUUAUUGGGCGUAAAGGGCUCGUAGGCGGCUUGUCACGUCGGGUGUGAAAGCCCGGGGCUUAACCCCGGGUCUGCAUUCGAUACGGGCUAGCUAGAGUGUGGUAGGGGAGAUCGGAAUUCCUGGUGUAGCGGUGAAAUGCGCAGAUAUCAGGAGGAACACCGGUGGCGAAGGCGGAUCUCUGGGCCAUUACUGACGCUGAGGAGCGAAAGCGUGGGGAGCAAACAGG